GAUGAACGCUGGCGGCGUGCCUAAUACAUGCAAGUCGAGCGAACGGACGAGAAGCUUGCUUCUCUGAUGUUAGCGGCGGACGGGUGAGUAACACGUGGAUAACCUACCUAUAAGACUGGGAUAACUUCGGGAAACCGGAGCUAAUACCGGAUAAUAUUUUGAACCGCAUGGUUCAAAAGUGAAAGACGGUCUUGCUGUCACUUAUAGAUGGAUCCGCGCUGCAUUAGCUAGUUGGUACGGUACCGGCUUACCAAGGCAACGAUGCAUAGCCGACCUGAGAGGGUGAUCGGCCACACUGGAACUGAGACACGGUCCAGACUCCUACGGGAGGCAGCAGUAGGGAAUCUUCCGCAAUGGGCGAAAGCCUGACGGAGCAACGCCGAGUGAGUGAUGAAGGUCUUCGGAUCGUAAAACUCUGUUAUUAGGGAAGAACAUAUGUGUAAGUAACUGUGCACAUCUUGACGGUACCUAAUCAGAAAGCCACGGCUAACUACGUG
rnacentral:rRNA from 1 species